rnacentral:rRNA from 1 species
GACGAACGCUGGCGGCGUGCCUAAUACAUGCAAGUAGGACGCAGUUGCGAACGGGUGAGUAACGGGUAGGUAACUACCUAUUAGAGGGGGAUAACUAUUGGAAACGAUAGCUAAUACCGCAUACUAGUAGGUGGAGCGGCGUUGUAUUAGCUAGUAGGUAGGGUAAUGGCCUACCUAGGCAACGAUAGAUAGCCGACCUGAGAGGGUGAUCGGCAACCCUGGGAAUUAGACACGGCCCAUACUCCUACGGGAUGCAGCAGUAGGGAAUCUUCGGCAAUGGGGGGAACCCUGACCGAGCAACGCCGCGUGAGUGAAGAAGGUUUUCGGAUCGUAAAGCUCUGUUGUUAAGGAAGCGGUACUUAACCAGAAAGGGCCGGCUAACUACGUGCCAGCAGACGCGGUAAUUC